CACUGGCAUUUUUUAUUUUAUAUGGACCGCGACUGCUUGAGGAUUUAGAAGCCGGAUUAUGUGGUGAUGAACAUGGUGUUGAAUCUGGCAGCUGCACCUCACCAAACGUGACAUGGCAGAGUUGAAAGGUGAGCUGGAACCAGAGUGCUCCCGUAUUUUCAGGGCUGUCCUGGAAGACAGCUGCUGGAUUUAGUGAAGACUGAAUCCAACUGCACUACAAGGAAUGUUUUCAGCCUCUGCACACAGCAUA
rnacentral:lncRNA from 1 species